rnacentral:lncRNA from 1 species
CCAGUGUGUCAACCACAACAAGUAAACACUGACGUGGGACAACAACGUCAACAGAACCAGAUGGGGUUUUCUUUGCCACACAAAAACUCCCCAGGAAAUAGUAAAAGAACAGUAAAGGCUGGAUGGACACAGGAAUACAAGAGAUCAAGAAAACAUUGUAAUAUUUAUAUAAUUUAAUUUAUGCUAUGUAUGCUAUCAUUUACUACCUUUGCAGUAAUGAAGGAAAUUAAGAUAAUCAGAUGUCAUACUAUCAGGGAUAAAAAAAAACCCAUACUUUUUACUUACAUAUCAACACAGCACUGAGGCUUCACUGCUCCAGUCGCAUCAACCACCGCAUAUUUAUUUGGAGUUGUACAAAGAACUGCAAAGAAAAGGACAGCAGAGGUGACAAGUCACAAAUUAACACUUCAAUUAUUUCAUCAACAGAUAUAUGUGAAGACAGGGCUUUUGGUUUUGUUGCAAAUAUGAUUUGUUACAUUAACUAUAAUUGGAUUGUUCAAGAUCACCAACUAAUCCUUAAAUACAACUUAACCUAAGAAACCCACCUUUGAAUUUUAAGGCAAACUCAUAGGGGUUAUAUAGAGUCAACACCUGCUUGUGUGUUGACUGGUCAUCUGCAUAAAAUAUAAGUUCUGUAGGAAAAACAAAAACAGGAAGAUUUCCUUCCACUAACUCUGGCUGUCUUCUUUGUUGCUGCAUUGGCACUGAAUCCUCCUUGCUGCUUCUUGUGUUCUUAUGAGUUUUGUAUCUUCAGUGACUUCAGUUUUAGAAUCGUUUAAGAAUUCCAAAGCAUUUUGGCAAUUCGCUCGGGGCCGCUGGCUGCGGGCUCGCGCGGCGCCCCCUUUGUGCGGCGCCCCCCCCGCCUGCUCCCGUCACUGCGGGUAGCGUCGUCGCUAUGGCUGCCGGGAUGGCGGCGGACUCC